rnacentral:rRNA from 1 species
AGGGGGAUAGCGUUUGGAAACGAACGGUAAUACCGCAUAAUGUAUUUUGACCGCAUGAUCGAAAUACCAAAGAUUUAUCGCUGAAGGAUGGACUCGCGUCUGAUUAGGUAGUUGGUGGGGUAACGGCCUACCAAGCCGACGAUCAGUAGCCGGACUGAGAGGUUGAUCGGCCACAUUGGGACUGAGACACGGCCCAGACUCCUACGGGAGGCAGCAGUGGGGAAUAUUGCACAAUGGGCGCAAGCCUGAUGCAGCAACGCCGCGUGAAGGAAGACGGUUUUCGGAUUGUAAACUUCUGUUCUUAGUGAAGAAUAAUGACGGUAGCUAAGGAGCAAGCCACGGCUAACUACGUGCCAGCAGCCGCGGUAAUACGUAGGUGGCAAGCGUUGUCCGGAAUUACUGGGUGUAAAGGGAGCGCAGGCGGGUGAUCAAGUCAGCUGUGAAAACUACGGGCUUAACCCGUAGACUGCAGUUGAAACUGUUCAUCUUGAGUGAAGUAGAGGUUGGCGGAAUUCCGAGUGUAGCGGUGAAAUGCGUAGAUAUUCGGAGGAACACCGGUGGCGAAGGCGGCCAACUGGGCUUUAACUGACGCUGAGGCUCGAAAGUGUGGGGAGCAAACAGGAU